CACAGAGAAAAGGCUGCAUGAGGACACAGCAAGAAGGCAGCUGGGUACACACCAGGAAGAGAGCCCUCACCUGAAACCAACCCUGAGGGCACCUACAGGGCCCACAGACCUGUGAAAAGAUCAAUGUCUGUUUAAGCCACCCAAUUUGUGGUAUUUUGUUGUGCUAUCUGAGCAUAUUAAUACAGUUUUUUUUUUUUUUUUUUUUUCCCAGAGAUCCUCAAAGCUCGCAUUCCAACAUAACACAGGAGUGAAAGCACAGGCUUUGAAGUCAGGAAGGACUAAGAUCUCAACCUGGCUUCCCAUUCAGCAGGACCUUGGCUUUCAUCUCUAGGAUCCUGUUUCAUAAGAUUGAUAUGAAAAUUAAUUGAAGCAAUGCAUAGGAAAUACGUGUCAUGGCGUCAGGACCCCUCUCUGCAUGUGGGCAUCCCACCCUAAAGGAAGAAUUAUGGGAAAGGGCUGCAAAAUGCCAGAGGUGGGCCAGGCUAUAAAGUCCAAGGAUCAAAUUUAAAUGCCGCACUUGUUCUUCAAGUUGCCAGCUUGAGACGCUUGCAAGAGGCAAGAACUGAGGUUGGUGCAGACCUGUAUGGAUUCACUGCCAGUAACUCGGACACCUUCCACCAGUAACAGGGGCGUAAUCGAUGAACUGGAUUUGUCACAUUCAAUAGCCCCAGGAAAAGCUUUGUCCUGGAUGCCUGCAGGGCUGCAUGUCACAGGGAGGAGAGGAGCCAUUUCUACCCUCUCUCUGAUACUUCGGCAUCCAGGGUCUCACUGAUCCUGUGGCCAAUUCCUGGAGAUAGUAAACAACUCACCCAGGAUGUACCUUUCUUAUUCAAAGGAACUCAUCCAGCACCCGCACCCCCAACCACCUCUUUCAUUGGUCCUCACGCUCCAGGCCACCAUUCACCUGCCCUUAUCAUCUCAGAGCUGGGUGCCAGACUGCUAGGAACAGCCCCUAUGCCCACAGUGUGCUGAAAUUAUUCACUGUCCAGCCCUCAGCCUGCUGCCGCUGCCUGGCCCACACCUUCCUACAGAAGGCACAAUAAAUGUUCUUCUUCACACCUCACCCACCCAUCCCCAUGCAUUGCGACCAACCUGGUGCAUCCCUGUGUGGUCCUGCCUGGUGUGCCCUGUCUCCU